UACGAAGGGGGGCUAGCGUUGCUCGGAAUCACUGGGGCGUAAAGGGUGCGUAGGCGGGUCUUUUAAGUCAGGGGUGAAAUCCUGGAGCUCAACUCCAGAACUGCCUUUGAUACUGAAGAUCUUGAGUUCGGGAGAGGUGAGUGGAACUGCGAGUGUAGAGGUGAAAUUCGUAGAUAUUCGGAAGAACACCAGUGGCGAAGGCGGCUCACUGGACCGGUAUUGACGCUGAGGUGCGAAAGCGUGGGGAGCAAACAGG
rnacentral:rRNA from 1 species